rnacentral:lncRNA from 1 species
UUUUCAAGUACAAAUGCGAAAAUGUGUAAUAUCCUAAGGGCGCGUUUUCGCGUUGUAUAACAUUACAGAUUAUUUCGACAUAUUUAGAUAUUUUGAAUUUCUGAAUGAGAUUACUAUUGAUGUUGUAUUAACACGUUUGAUUUAAUGCAAUAAUGUAAUACUAGGUUACAGUGUAUAUAACAUUAUUAUGUUUGGUUCAGUUUAUAAAAUUCAGUAAUUCUGGCAACAAAGUGUAAUCUAUUCCAAAAUUAUUUUUAGCCAUAUUUGGCAAAAAUAUUUACUAUUUACAAAUAAUAUUUUUUUUAGAAAAUUUUAUUUCAAAUAAUUUAAAUAUUGAACUUAAAUUUUAUUUUUAAUUUUAAAUUUAAAAUAUAAAAUUUUAAAUCUAAACAAAACAUAAAAUUUAAUAUUUUAAUUUAAAAUAUAAAUUUAAAAUUUAUAAAUUUUGAAUUUUAACUUUUAAAUAUAAAUAUGAAUUUAUAAUUUAUAAUUUAUAAUUUAAAAUCUAAAUUUAAAAUUUAGAAUUUAAAAUCUAGAUUUGAUGUUUAAAAUUUUAAAACUUGAAACAUGAAACUUGAAACUUGAAAUUUAAAAAAUUAAAAUUUAAAAUUUAAAAAUUAAAAUUUGAAAAUUAAAAAUUAAAAUUUAAAAUUUGACAAUUUAAAAAUUUAAAUUAAAAUUUUAAAAAUGUCGUAUCGAAAGGGUUUUUGUGUUCGGAGAGAUAAACUCAUAAUUUUACAUAAAUGCAAGAUAACCUGAUAUUAGUAAUACGAGAUACCCACGCGCACUCGGUAAUAUUUUUGGUGUAAUCCUGUACCAUUCGCAAUGCUGAUUAUUGACCAAAUUACAUAUUGAAUGAAUCAGACGUAAUAAUACUAUCAGAAUUACCUGUAGAAUAACCCGAACCAAAUGCACACUAAGUCUUGUGUGGCUUAUGCUUGCUCAUUUGUCUUAUUAUUAUUAUUAGUUAAACAAAAACCUUUUUAAAAAAAUUUAUAAAUCUUUAGAUUCAAUGGUGUGAAAUUUAUCCCUCUAAAAGAAAAUAGUAGCAUUUUUCAAGUACAAAUGCAAAAACGUGUAAAUAAAAAAAUAGGACCAACUAAUUUACAGUAUCAUUAUAGUAUAGGGAAUAUUAAUCCAUUUUUAACCUUUUAAAAGGGGUACUAUUUAUCACUUCAAAUGCUGUUAUAUAUAUUAAUUAGGGCCCGCCAGGCACUGAAGUCUAUUUAAUGUUAAUAUAUAAAAAAAGUUGGGGGCGGGUAGCGUGCUAUCUAUUUUUUAAAAAAAAUAAAAAGAAGUUGGGGUAAAACUAUAUAGUGAUAUGAUUUCGCGUUUAGUCAGAUUUACGAUCGACUCAUUGCGAUUGCCAUAUAUAUAACGUAAUAUUAUAUAUCAAAACAAACGAAAUAUUUUUUUUUCAUCAUAUUUUUUUUUAUGGUACGUAACGUAAUUCUUCAGUAAUUCCAAAAUCCCCAUAUCUCUAAACUAAAA